AGAGUUUGAUCCUGGCUCAGGAUGAACGCUAGCUACAGGCUUAACACAUGCAAGUCGAGGGGCAGCAUGGUCUUAGCUUGCUAAGGCCGAUGGCGACCGGCGCACGGGUGAGUAACACGUAUCCAACCUGCCGUCUACUCUUGGACAGCCUUCUGAAAGGAAGAUUAAUACAAGAUGGCAUCAUGAGUCCGCAUGUUCACAUGAUUAAAGGUAUUCCGGUAGACGAUGGGGAUGCGUUCCAUUAGAUAGUAGGCGGGGUAACGGCCCACCUAGUCUUCGAUGGAUAGGGGUUCUGAGAGGAAGGUCCCCCACAUUGGAACUGAGACACGGUCCAAACUCCUACGGGAGGCAGCAGUGAGGAAUAUUGGUCAAUGGGCGAGAGCCUGAACCAGCCAAGUAGCGUGAAGGAUGACUGCCCUAUGGGUUGUAAACUUCUUUUAUAAAGGAAUAAAGUCGGGUAUGCAUACCCGUUUGCAUGUACUUUAUGAAUAAGGAUCGGCUAACUCCGUGCCAGCAGCCGCGGUAAUACGGAGGAUCCGAGCGUUAUCCGGAUUUAUUGGGUUUAAAGGGAGCGUAGAUGGAUGUUUAAGUCAGUUGUGAAAGUUUGCGGCUCAACCGUAAAAUUGCAGUUGAUACUGGAUGUCUUGAGUGCAGUUGAGGCAGGCGGAAUUCGUGGUGUAGCGGUGAAAUGCUUAGAUAUCACGAAGAACUCCGAUUGCGAAGGCAGCCUGCUAAGCUGCAACUGACAUUGAGGCUCGAAAGUGUGGGUAUCAAACAGGAUUAGAUACCCUGGUAGUCCACACGGUAAACGAUGAAUACUCGCUGUUUGCGAUAUACGGCAAGCGGCCAAGCGAAAGCGUUAAGUAUUCCACCUGGGGAGUACGCCGGCAACGGUGAAACUCAAAGGAAUUGACGGGGGCCCGCACAAGCGGAGGA
rnacentral:rRNA from 1 species